rnacentral:rRNA from 1 species
UACAGAGGGGGCAAGCGUUGUUCGGAAUUACUGGGCGUAAAGGGCGCGUAGGCGGCCUGCUAAGUCGAACGUGAAAUCCCCGGGCUCAACCCGGGAACUGCGUCCGAUACUGGUUGGCUUGAAUCCGGGAGAGGGAUGCGGAAUUCCAGGUGUAGCGGUGAAAUGCGUAGAUAUCAGGAGGAACACCGGUGGCGAAAGCGGCUCACUGGCCGGAUACUGACACUGAGGUGCGAAAGCUAGGGUAGCAAACGGG